rnacentral:rRNA from 1 species
AUUGAACGCUGGCGGCAUGCCUUACACAUGCAAGUCGAACGGUAACGGGUCCUUCGGGAUGCCUACUAGUGGCGAACGGGUGAGUAAUAUAUCUGAACGUGCCCAGUAGUGGGGGAUAACUGCUCCAAAGAGCAGCUACUACCGCAUACUACCUGCUGGUGCAAGGUGGUGAUCGCAAGACCUCUCCCUAUUUGAGCGGCCGAUAUCAGAUUAGAUAGUUGGUGGGGUAAGGGCCUACCAAGGCAACGAUCUGUAGUUGGUCUGAGAGGACGACAAGCCACACUGGGAGUGAGACACGGCCAAGACGACUACGAGAGGCAGCAGUGGGGAAUUUUGGACAAUGGGCGCAAGCCUGAUCCAGCAAUGCGGCGUGCAGGAAGAAGGCCUUCGGGUUGUAAACUGCUUUUGUCAGGGAAGAAAUCUUCUGGGCUAAUACCACGGGAGGAUGACGGUAACUGAAGAAUAAGCACCGGCUAACUACGUG